rnacentral:rRNA from 1 species
AAUGAACGUUGGCGGCAUGGAUUAGGCAUGCAAGUCGAGCGAGAAGGAAAUCAAAGUUUACUUUGGUUUCCGGAAAGCGGCGAAAGGGAGAGUAACGCGUAGUUAUCUACCCCAAGGCCCGGAAUAGCUGCGGGAAACUGCAGGUAAUGCCGGAUAAUAUCCCCGGAUCAAAGGUGUGAUUCCGCCUUGGGAGGAGACUGCGUUGUACUAGCUUGUUGGUAGGGUAAUGGCCUACCAAGGCUACGAUGCAUAGCGGGCGUGAGAGCGUGGCCCGUCUCACUGGGACUGAAACACUGCCCAGACACCUACGGGUGGCUGCAGUCGAGAAUCUUCGGCAAUGGGCGAAAGCCUGACCGAGCGAUGCCGCGUGCGGGAUGAAGGCCCUCGGGUUGUAAACCGCUGUCGUAGGGGAGAAAGGACCGUUGAAGAGACGGUUUUGAUCUAUCCUGGGAGGAAGUCCGGGCUAAGUUCGUGC